CGCUUGCGAUGUUUCUGGUGUUACAGACGUCUAUAAGUUACGGUAAUCGCUUAACAUCACGUGACCCGUACGCUUGUUUGACAACCUAUUUAUAUA